rnacentral:rRNA from 1 species
AUUGAACGCUGGCGGCAGGCCUAACACAUGCAAGUCGAGCGGAUGAAGGGAGCUUGCUCCUGGAUUCAGCGGCGGACGGGUGAGUAAUGCCUAGGAAUCUGCCUGGUAGUGGGGGAUAACGUCCGGAAACGGGCGCUAAUACCGCAUACGUCCUGAGGGAGAAAGUGGGGGAUCUUCGGACCUCACGCUAUCAGAUGAGCCUAGGUCGGAUUAGCUAGUUGGUGGGGUAAAGGCCUACCAAGGCGACGAUCCGUAACUGGUCUGAGAGGAUGAUCAGCCACACUGGAACUGAGACACGGUCCAGACUCCUACGGGAGGCCGCCGUGGGGAAUAUUGGCCAAUGGGCGAAAGCCUUAUCCAGCCAUGCCGCGUGUGUGAAGAAGGUCUUCGGAUUGUAAAGCACUUUAAGUUGGGAGGAAGGGCAGUAAGUUAAUACCUUGCUGUUUUGACGUUACCAACAGAAUAAGCACCGGCUAACUUCGUG